UGAGGAAUAUUGGUCAAUGGACGCAAGUCUGAACCAGCCAAGUAGCGUGCAGGAUGACGGCCCUAUGGGUUGUAAACUGCUUUUAUAUGGGGAUAAAGUGGGGAACGUGUUCCCUUUUGCAGGUACCAUAUGAAUAAGGACCGGCUAAUUCCGUGCCAGCAGCCGCGGUAAUACGGAAGGUUCGGGCGAUAUCCGGAUUUAUUGGGUUUAAAGGGAGCGUAGGCCGUUUGGUAAGCGUGUUGUGAAAUGUAGGAGCUCAACUUCUAGAUUGCAGCGCGAACUGUCAGACUUGAGUGCGCACAACGUAGGCGGAAUUCAUGGUGUAGCGGUGAAAUGCUUAGAUAUCAUGAAGAACUCCGAUUGCGAAGGCAGCUUACGGGAGCGAAACUGACGCUGAAGCUCGAAGGUGCGGGUAUCGAACAGG
rnacentral:rRNA from 1 species